CCUCGCGGAGCCGCGGCGCGGCGGUCGCGGGGUCCCCGUCCGCGAGCGCGCGCCGCCCCUGCCUGGCCAGCCGUUCGAACCGGUGCGCGUCGAC
rnacentral:tRNA from 1 species